rnacentral:rRNA from 1 species
UACGUAGGGCGCAAGCGUUGUCCGGAAUUAUUGGGCGUAAAGAGCGUGUAGGCGGCCAUGUAGGUCCGUUGUGAAAACUCGAGGCUCAACCUCGAGACGCCGAUGGAAACCAUGUGGCUAGAGUCCGGAAGAGGAGAGUGGAAUUCCUGGUGUAGCGGUGAAAUGCGCAGAUAUCAGGAAGAACACCCGUGGCUAAGGCGGCUCUCUAGUACGGUACUGACGCUGAGACGCGAAAGCGUGGGGAGCAAACAGG